rnacentral:hammerhead_ribozyme from 1 species
AGCCGAAACGGGCCGACCGGCCCGUCCGCCGGGGUUCACCGCCCGGCGCCGAUGAUGGCAGGUGAGA